rnacentral:rRNA from 1 species
GACGAACGCUGGCGGCGGGCUUAACACAUGCAAGUCGAACGGUAAGGCCCUUCGGGGUACACGAGUGGCGAACGGGUGAGUAACACGUGGGUGAUCUGCCCUGCACUUCGGGAUAAGCCUGGGAAACUGGGUCUAAUACCGGAUAGGACUCCGGACUGCAUGGUCUGGGGUGGAAAGCUUUUGCGGUGUGGGAUGGGCCCGCGGCCUAUCAGCUUGUUGGUGGGGUGAUGGCCUUCCAAGGCGACGACGGGUAGCCGGCCUGAGAGGGUAACCGGCCACACUGGGACUGAGAUACUGCCCAGACUCCUACGGGAGGCAGCAGUGGGGAAUAUUGCACAAUGGGCGCAAGCCUGAUGCAGCGACGCCGCGUGAGGGAUGACGGCCUUCGGGUUGUAAACCUCUUUCAGCAUCGACGAAGCGAAAGUGACGGUAGGUGCAGAAGAAGGACCGGCCAACUACGUGCCAGCCGCCGCAGUAA